ACGUCGGGGCCCGUUCCCCCGUCGGGGGACAGGGUGACAGGUGGUGCAUGGUUGUCGUCAGCUCGUGUCGUGAGAUGUUGGGUUAAGUCCCGUAACGAGCGCAACCCUUACCCUUAGUUGUUUCCCGAAAGGAUUACCCUCUAAGGGGACUGCCCCGGACAACGGGGAGGAAGGUGGGGAUGACGUCAAGUCCGCAUGCUCCUUACGUCUAGGGCUACACACGUCCUACAAUGGGGUCGACAGUGGGAUGCAAAGCCGCGAGGUGGAGCCAAUCCCCAAACGGCCUCUCAGUUCGGAUAGUAGUCUGCAACUCGACUACUUGAAGUCGGAAUCGCUAGUAAUGGCGGAUCAGCAUGCCGCCGUGAAUACGUUCCCGGGUCUU
rnacentral:rRNA from 1 species